ensembl:lncRNA
GGGAAAAGCGGAGACAUGACCUCAAACUGUACUUCUGCCUUCAGCCUGACAGCAUGAAUCUUCCCCUGCCCCCAUCCCUAAUGCCUGAUGUCUUCAUUGCUCAGUGCUGAAGAUGUGGUCAGUGAGGAACAUAUACAGCUGGGGAGAAAAGAGACAGUGACAGCUAACAGAAAUAGUCCAGGGGUCCCAGCAAAAGUGAUCUGCUUAUAAGCUGCUCCCUGUUCAACGUGGCUGAGUACCUUGGUGUAAUUUCCAGUUUGGAUCUUAAAAGGUAAAGCCAUAACAAAGUCCAUAGACUGGGAAUGAGGACUUGUAUCACGGGAAACUAUAAAUGCUCCAAAAUAACAAACAGAAGGAAAAAAUUCUGGAGUGAAUUUUUGAAAUACAUAGGUCACUCCAAAAGUAAUGCCUCCUAUUUAUUUCCAUGGAUACUACAACAAAGAGCACAAUAACACUACUUGAUAGAACAAAUUCUCUGCUAUAAAAACACAAUUUUUUCAACAGUCACCACCAUUCACCGUGCAUUUUCAUCAGGGAUCAACAAAAGCCUGCAUGCCACGCUUAUGAAAAUCUGCACCAAUGGAGGUGACCCACUGCCGCUGCUGCUACUGCUGAAAUGCACCACCCAUCACCUCACUGUUCUCACUUCCACUGUUUGGUCUCCGUAACACGCAACAAGUAUCAGUGAAUGUCAGUGGGUGACAUUUUUUCCACAUGCAGGAAUUCAGUGACAUAACCUUGCUCCAUUGGCACUUCCAUGCCAGACACCAUUCUAUCAGACUGCCCCUCUGCUGCCAUCUAUUACAGGGCAACAAAAUGUAAUGGAAUACUGGUGGGAAGGUCCAACCUCUAUUGUGGUACCACUGCCUCUGACAUCAUGGGCCGACAUUAUAAUUUUGGGCGCAUUACUUUCAGAGCCACCCUUGUACUAGGCUCAACAAGUCUUCUGCUCAUACGUCUCUUGGAAGAAAACAAUUUAUGUUUAGGAGACGCGACCAAAAGUGGCAGCAAUUGUCUUGGAGACUGGAUUUUGGAGCUGUUAAAAACAUUUCAAUCAUCUGUAAAUUACUUGAGAAGUUGAAGUAAUCAAUUCAAUAAUAGUAGGUGCUGGCAGUGCUCUUGGCUUUGUUUUUGCACUGUUUUGGGGUAGGUGUGGAGAAGAGGGGAUAUCACACACUGAGGAACCACUAAGACCCUGUCUGCUGUAUGCAGCUCUGUAUUUCCCCUGAUGAUUGUGCAUGAACCUCAAACUGACUCCAGAAAAUUACAACUGCAGCUCAUCAGUUAAACUCAGUUUCCUGCCAUGACAAAGAACUGAACAGUCAUAACCAAAGGAAGAAAAAUUUGAGCUAUUUUGGGACAAGAAAAAGGCAAUGUGGCUUUUUUAAUGAGAAAGGCAUCUUCCAGUGAAGGAAACAGACUUUUGUGACAGAGCUGUGGAGCUGCUGUUUCUCUGGCAGACAGUUUCAGGCUGCAUUCCUGUUUAAUUGGCAUCAAGCCCAGCAUCAAGCCCAUCUUCAGAGCUACACUUUCCUCUGAGUUUUAAUUUGUACUUAAAAACUAUGCUCCAGUGGCUGAACUUCAUAUUCCCUCACCUACUGCUUUUUCUCUCAGAAAGAAACUGCACUCACUCAGGUGCCAUCACCAGGCUGUUCCUCACCACGUCUCCUCUGCUUCACUGCCGGCACUGCACCUGAGGGGACACACCCAGUCUACAAGCAAUCAGACAAUUGACACAGAGGUGGUUUAAGUUUAACACAGAAGCUUACUAGGCACAUGAACGUGAAAAAAGUUUGCUCUCUUGACUCAUCUCACUAUUGAGAUAGAGUUGACUAUCUCAAUCUGUCAGUUGCUCUUCAGCUGGGCAGUAUUUCAUAGGUUAUCAUGAGGUAAGUUUAGGGAUACAACUACCUAAAAUCUUCUGAAGUAAACAAUUCUUUCAUUUCAAAUGAGCUUCCUGUAAGUGUACACAAGAAACAACAACAUACCUCCCAACAAAAAAGAAGACACCUUCCGAGGCCUAGGAGGUACUGCUUUUCUAAAC